rnacentral:rRNA from 1 species
ACGCUAGCGGCAGGCCUACACAUGCAAGUNCAGGGGCAGCAUAUCACUUCGGUGAUGAUGGCGACCGGCGCACGGGUGAGUAUCGCGUUUGUAACCUACCCUUAACUGGGGAAUAGCCCGAAGAAAUUCGGAUUAAUACCCCAUUAAAUUUAAGAACGGCAUCGUUUUUUUAUUAAAGCUCCGGCGGUUAAGGAUGGGCAUGCGUGACAUUAGUUUGUUGGUGAGGUAACGGCUCACCAAGACUACGAUGUCUAGGGGGUCUGAGAGGAUGAUCCCCCACACUGGUACUGAGACACGGACCAGACUCCUACGGGAGGCAGCAGUGAGGAAUAUUGGGCAAUGGACGCAAGUCUGACCCAGCCAUGCCGCGUGCAGGAUGACGGCGCUAUGCGUUGUAAACUGCUUUUAUACAGGAAGAAAUCCCCGAACGUGUUCGGGGUUGACGGUACUGUAAGAAUAAGCAUCGGCUAACUCCGUGCCAGCAGCCGCGGUAAUACGGAGGAUGCAAGCGUUAUCCGGAUUCAUUGGGUUUAAAGGGUGCGCAGGCGGGGCAAUAAGUCAGUGGUGAAAUCCUGCGGCUUAACCGUAGAACUGCCAUUGAUACUGUUGCCCUUGAGUAUAGUUGAGGUGGGCGGAAUAUGUAAUGUAGCGGUGAAAUGCAUAGAUAUUACAUAGAACACCAAUUGCGAAGGCAGCUCACUAAGCUAUCACUGACGCUGAGGCACGAAAGCGUGGGGAGCGAACAGGAUUAGAUACCCUGGUAGUCCACGCCGUAAACGAUGAUCACUCGUUGUUGGCAAUACAUCGUCAGCGACUGAGCGAAAGCAUUAAGUGAUC